GACGAACGCUGGCGGCGUGCUUAACACAUGCAAGUCGAACGGAAAGGCCCUGCUUUUGUGGGGUGCUCGAGUGGCGAACGGGUGAGUAACACGUGAGUAACCUGCCCUUGACUUUGGGAUAACUUCAGGAAACUGGGGCUAAUACCGGAUAGGAGCUCCUGCUGCAUGGGGGGGGUUGGAAAGUUUCGGCGGUUGGGGAUGGACUCGCGGCUUAUCAGCUUGUUGGUGGGGUAGUGGCUUACCAAGGCUUUGACGGGUAGCCGGCAUGAGAGGGUGACCGGCCACAUUGGGACUGCGAUACGGACCAGACUCGUACGGGAGGCAGCAGUGGAGAAUAUUGCACAAUGGGCGGAAGCCUGAUGCAGCAGCGCCGCGUGCGGGAUGACGGCCUUCGGGGUGUAAACCGCUUUCGCCUGUGACGAAGCGUGAGUGACGGUAAUGGGUAAAGAAGCACCGGCUAACUACGUG
rnacentral:rRNA from 1 species